rnacentral:rRNA from 1 species
AUGCGUAUGUUGAGAUGGAUGUGUGGCCACACGAGGAAGGAUAGAGUCCAGAAUGAUGAUAUACGAGAUAGAGUUGGGGUAGCACCGACUGAAAAGAAGCUUGUCCAACAUCGUCUGAGAUGGUUUGGGCAUAUUCAACGCAAGCCUCCAGAAGCCCCAGUGCAUAGCGGACGGCUAAAGCGUGCGGAGAAUGUCAAGAGAGGUCGGGGUAGACCGAAUUUGACAUGGGAGGAAUCCGUUAAGAGAGAUCUGAAGGAUUGGAGUAUCACCAAAGAACUAGCUAUGGACAGGGGUGCGUGGAAGCUUGCUAUCCAUGUGCCAGAGCCAUGA